UCCACUCACUACUACAAGUCACUCUGGAUAAGAGUGUCUGCUAAAUGAUUGAAA
rfam:Salmo salar isolate Sally breed double haploid chromosome ssa08, whole genome shotgun sequence.